rnacentral:rRNA from 1 species
GAUGAACGCUGGCGGCGUGCCUAAUACAUGCAAGUCGAGCGAACGGACGAGAAGCUUGCUUCUCUGAUGUUAGCGGCGGACGGGUGAGUAACACGUGGAUAACCUACCUAUAAGACUGGGAUAACUUCGGGAAACCGGAGCUAAUACCGGAUAAUAUUUUGAACCGCAUGGUUCAAAAGUGAAAGACGGUCUUGCUGUCACUUAUAGAUGGAUCCGCGCUGCAUUAGCUAGUUGGUAAGGUAACGGCUUACCAAGGCAACGAUGCAUAGCCGACCUGAGAGGGUGAUCGGCCACACUGGAACUGAGACACGGUCCAGACUCCUACGGGAGGCAGCAGUAGGGAAUCUCCGCAAUGGGCGAAAGCCUGACGGAGCAACGCCGCGUGAGUGAUGAAGGUCUUCGGAUCGUAAAACUCUGUUAUUAGGGAAGAACAUAUGUGUAAGUAACUGUGCACAUCUUGACGGUACCUAAUCAGAAAGCCACGGCUAACUACGUG